GAAAGGCAGGUCCUGUUUGACCAACCUGAUCUCCUUCUGUAUCAAGAUGACCAGCCUGAUAGAUGAUGGAAAGGCUGUUAUGACACAUGGGAUAGAAAACUAGCAGAACUGUAGAUGAAGGUGGCAGAUGCAUUAGGUACUGAAAAAGGGGAGGAGGUCCAGCACUGGCUGAGCAGAGUAGCGGCCUUGUAUUGAUGAAGCAGGAGGGAAGCUCUGCCUGGAAGCAAUUACUGCUCCUCCUUGACCUCCUACUUACCUAUUUGGAGAACACAGCCAGGAAAAGAAGAGGAAAGCCAAUGUAUCCAGGCCAGUGGUGUGCUUUACCUCUGCUGUAAAUGUUUUUAUUUUGGGGUUUUGUUUUGUUUUGUUUUUUUACAAUUUCAUUUAUUUUUAUUUGUGUUAUUGUCGAGUGGGGUUUUUCUUAACCUGGCGCUGCACGUUCUUUGAGUGAUUCAUAUUGAGCCAAUGUUGUUCCUACGCACGUUUCUAUGUCUGCCAGUCUUUAAACAUUUACAUCAAAAAGUAGGUUUUUUGACAUAUACAGUGACAGAUAGCAAUUGUGCAGUUUUCUGGAGUAUACAGAUUUCUAACUGUAGCUCCUCAGAACAAUAUCCUCAAUCUCUUGGACUCACCAUUUCUUUUUUAAUAUAAUGCUUUCAUUCAUCCCUCCUGUGUUGACGUUCAGUCAGCACCUACAAGGUUUCUCAUUUGUACACAAAAUUCACUUCUUGCUGUCCCUGUUGUUUCUCAUUACAACGUUGUCUGCCCAAUCCCUGCUGUCAGUCCAUUUUCAGCUUCUACCGUGGUUCUGUUACUGUGUAAUGCACAGCCACUCUGCAUGUAUAAUAGCCCAGAGAGAUACUACAUUGCCAAUACCCCAAAAAUUCAGAAGCUCUCUUUACUGAAUCUUCUCUGUGCCUUACAGACCGAUUGGAAGGUGACAGAUCAGAAGGAUCUGGUCAGGAGAAUGAAAAUGAAGAUGAAGAAUAACCGGCAGUUGUGUGCAAGCACCUAGAUGUUAAUGGAAUUUGUACAAGACAUUAAUUAUAUUUUUCCUUACAGAGCUUUAGUGCAAUUCUAAGAUAUUGCUUUUGGAUAACCUAACCUUCUGUUUUUGAAUGACUGUGUGCAUGACUUUGAGAGAGUGUGCAAGUAAAAUAAGCAAAAAUGUUUUUAAAAUGUUUUGCCUGUAUGAGGGGUGCUAGGAGAUUCAAAGUGCAAUAUUUUCCUUAACCUGCAAAUGUGGGAGCUUGGAUCAAUGUUUUAAAGUAACUUUCAUUAUAGUAAAAACGUUGGUUCAAAUAAAUUUCUAUACCUGCUGUUUGCAUGUUUGUUGCUUUCUAAUUAAAAAGAUUUGGUUGUUUUAAGUAGUUUCCUGUUUUCUCUUUGUG
ensembl:lncRNA